rnacentral:lncRNA from 1 species
GCUGCACGAUAUUUUUAAUUGCUUGUUUAUUGCUUCUUUUCAUUGCAAUUAUAAUAUUAUAAAAUACAAAAUAGGAAAUAAAAUCCCCACAUUUCAUUUUAUUAUAUUAAACUUUGAAAUCUAUGAAAUUGAAUUUUGUAAAGCAAAAAUAAUAAGUAAGAAGUAAAAGAAGCAAUAAGAAUAGAAUUAAAAAUCAAUAUGAAUAUUUAGUGCAGACAUGCCUCAGACCACCUGAAUGAAACUUCUGGACAACCGGUGGUCCAUGACUGGCCGUUCUGUUUGGGAUGAGUGUGCUAGCAACAGAAUAUUCAGAAACAGUACAGUUUCUUUGAGUGUGGAGUAAAUCUCAGUUUGCGGCGAGAGGAAAAUUAAUACAGUGCUCUGAGAAAGAAGGAGCUAUUUGUUGGAAGGAUGAAUGUGAGCAGAUAAGGGAGAAUCUUUAUGGUGAUGGUGGUCAAAGUGACCAAAACAGAGAAGGCAAAGAGUGGAGGCAGAAUAAUUUAGCAUAUUGAUUUUAUCAAGAGACAUACUGGGCUGCAGGCCAACCAGUUAAGAUUUGUUGUUAUAUAGGGACUUGGGGGAAGGGCUCCACAAAUGAAGCUUAAUUGACAUGGGGCUGGGGGCACUAGUUUCUGGGAAAUAAGAUUCUGCUGUCUUUGAAUCCUGUCUAAAACUUCCAUCAUUAAUUUGACUUUUUAGCUUAAGGUGGCAGAUAAUGUUUAAAGGCGCAUCCUGUAUCAUCAUCUUUAGUGGCUGCUGUUAGGCAUGGGGGGGGGGAACCUCUCACUCUGCAGGGUAGGAGAAACUUGAAAGAACAGGGUACAGUUUGGAGUGUGUGUGAAUCUGCACAGCUCCAUAGAUGUCAGUGGAGGUGAUGUCAGUGAAACAUAACAUAAAAGCUGGACUAACAUUAAAAGAAACAAGCCCUGGAUUGCUAGAAGCUCAUUUUGGGAAAGGGUUAGCUCUCAGGUUUUAUUUUGAUUGUGAGCAUAAAUACCAAAUGCCCUGGAAGCAAAAAUACAAUGUAUUGUCUAUUUCACUGGGGCUGCAUCUUAUCUCAAACAAUUUCCCAAGUGUGCCAAAUGAUCGCAUUACAAAGCAGGAGCUCAGAGAAAGGAAGCCGGCAGCCGAUACAGACUCGACACUAAGAUGGGUGCACUCUUGCCACAUACUUCAACAGAAAGCACUCAAAAGAUUUGCUCGGAAAUAAGAACAGAGAUCUUGGCAGUGCAAUUGCAUUUGCUUCUCUAGGAAAAUGCUGCCCAGAUAACAUUCCAUACAAUUCUGGAAUGUGCUUAUGUCUUUCUGAUUGCACUGUAAAUCUGACUCCAUCUUAAAGACUGGCUCUGUCCCCCCCCCCACCUCUCGUUGCCCCCACCAACAAAAUGGUUUUAUGUUGUCAAAUCCCUCUUCCUUCCCCUCCCUGCCUCCUAGUCCCUCUCACCACUUUAUGACUUUUUGCCAAUGGUAAAUGUUAUUAACUCUCCCUGAAUGCCGUUGGGUAAGCUGUGAGAGCAACUCCUGCAAAUUAACAAAGCCGGUCAAAUUAGAUUAGCCACCACUGAAUGGGGCCUCCACAAAAGAGGAGACACUUCUUAGCUUCCAGCUUCAUUACUGCUCGACCUGCCUUGCUUCAAAACUUGGGUGUCAUGUGCAUGAAACCACCCGUGGCUUUUCAAGUAGGAAUUGAUCUUCAAGAAAGGGAAAAGUGCUAGGACAGGAACAAUGAGAGGGGCAAUUAUUUUGCUCUUCUUGAGCCUUGGAUGUGAAAACAGACUGGGGAACAAUAGAAACAAUAGAGUUUAUUGUUCUCUAUUCAUGAGCUGUCAUGUGACUCCCAAUGGGCCACAAUAGGGCCCAUUUCCUUUUGGAAAUGACUUGAGAUUCUCACACACUUUUAAUGCGUUGUCAUUUUGUGAAGGAUGGCAAUUGCACAUUUAUGGGGCUAUUAACUGUGGGUUGAUGAAUUCUUUAUUUUCUAAUAUAUACUGCUGAGUUUUGCCAUAUGUACAUAAAAUGUUUAUUUAGGAUUAUAUAGGCUGAGCAGAGACAAGGGAGAAACAUCUGGAAUCAAAUCUAUGUGGCUGAUUUAAAAUAAUAGUCUCCCCCACCCCAUCACCACCUCAUCGAAAUUCUAUUCAGGGAAAUCCUGUCUAAGCAAAGCAAGAACAUCAUGGUUUUUUUGCAAUGAAGCUGCAUCUGUCCUAAAAGGCACAUAUUCCCUUAGGACUCAUUAGGUCCUCUUGUAUAUGAUAAGAAAUGGGGCACAUUACAGUGGUAGAUUCUGAUCCUUUCAGCCGUCAUCGUUUAAGACACUUAGCUAGAAUUGGGGGAAAUAUAAAAAGCAGACAGAUGACCAUGAAACUUGCUGUUGGGAUCGAAAAUGGAAGGUUCACAGGAUCUGCUUGGCACUUACAUAGUUUCUUAUUUCAGAAUAUGAAUAUGGUGGACUAAUAUUCUGACUCCUCAUAAGGUGGCUACAGGUGGUUGUUUUUGUUGAUGUGUCUGUGUGCGUUUUAAAUGGACCCUAGGCUUGAGGGUGGAUGAAUUUGCAAGCAAAUUACGAUCCAGGCCACAUUGUUUGGCAGAGUGAGGUGAGCAUCUUAGGUGGCAGAUGCUGGAGGCGGAGAGUGGCAGUGAGGUGUUGAAGGACAGAACUGGGCCACAUGGCCUGCCCUGGAUCUUCUAAGCUAGCCUGCUACCCUCAGGUGCAGUGGAGAAUAUUGUCCCGUUAGCAGUAAUAAAAUAACAUUCAUGGAUGAAUGGAUGAAAACAUUUGUGUUUUAUUUGUCAUUUCCUAUUAAAAACCCAAACCGAAGACACUCUUUUAGGAAACACAAGCAUCUGAUGACAUCUCACCCCAAAGUUGCAACUGGGCUGUCUACCAUUAAAUUUAAACUUCAGAUUCAUUUUGAGAAUUUCCUACAGCUCAUUAAGAGCUACUUAAAAUUUUAACUAUUAAAAAUUUAGGAACACUUUCUUUUUUUAAUUCAGGUUGCCUGAAAUUUUAAUAUCUGCUUAAUUUUUAAUCUGAGCCCUGACAUGCAUAAGGAAAUGCAAAACCUGUUCUCUUAACAAAUAUGCAAAGUUGUAGAUUUCAUAUACUGUAAUGGAGUAGCUCAUUCUGCCCUCCACCACGUAAUUAUUAGCAGACACAUUCCAGCUUUUGGUUUUCUUUCUACAGAUUUUUAAAAGGUGCAGGUUACGUUGCAAUAUUUUUAAGUAGCCCGAUUCUGUUUACUCUGUGAUGUAUUGAGGGUGUACUUACAGGAAUACACCACUAUUACAUUACAAGGUAUGUCAAAUGAUUUUCAUUCUCUAAUUUUUUUUCUUUGCCUAAUUAACAAGGAACUGAAUUUGAUCUUCUUUCUGUU